AUGCCACUUUUAAUCCACUGCGGCCAGUCGGGCUUUAUCCGUGGCCGCGGCAUUGCAGACAAUUUCCUUCUCGCUGCGGAUAUCGUUCAAACUUGUCAUAAGCGAAAAAUCCCGGGUAUCGUUCUUAAAUUAGACUUAAAAAAAGCCUUUGACUCGGUUUCCUGGGAAGCCUUAUCUCUCAUUGUGCGCGCCAAAGGGCUCCCUUCUAUUUGGGAACGUUGGAUCCAUAAUCUUAAUUCCACUGGGAAUUCCGCAGUCCUCCUAAAUGGGAAGCCGGGGCCUUGGUUUCAGUGCCGGCGUGGCCUUCGCCAAGGGGAUUCGAUGUCUCCCUAUCUAUUCAUUAUUAUAGCCGAUGUCCUCCAACGCCUUAUUAUCAAAGCUUUCGAUUACGGCUUCCUGUCUCACCCUAUUGAUCACACGUUGCCUUGCCCGGUGCUUCAGUAUGCUGACGACACCCUGAUUGUCCUUCCGGCCGAGGCAUCUCAGCUUCUGCACCUUAAGAACCUGUUGUCGCAGUUCUCUGAGGCCACGGGCCUUUCGAUAAACUUCCACAAAAGUACGUUCGCCCCAAUCCAUGUUAGUCAGGAGGUUUCUGUAGGAUUGGCGGCAAUCCUGGGGUGCCCGGUGGCUUCCUUCCCUCAAUCUUACCUAGGUCUGCCCUUAUCUACGACUAAGCUUAAUCUCUCGGAUUUUUUCUUCAUCAUCGACAAGAUUUACCCGCGGCUGGCUGGGUGGCGGGGGCUGCUUCUCUCCUUCGCUGGUAGGGCCAUUUUGGUUAGGGCUACCUUACGCGCCCUUCCGAUUUAUGCUAUGAGUACGUUGUUGCUUCCAGUUGGAACUCUGCAGGAGAUUGACAAACAAUGUCGGGCGUUCUUCUGGUCUGGGUUAGAUAAGACUACGGGCGGUCAGUGCAAAGUGGCUUGGGAUCUCGUGUGCGCCCCUUUCUCCCAUGGGGGUUAA
rnacentral:rRNA from 1 species